rnacentral:piRNA from 1 species
UGGGAGCCAUGGAAAGGUUGAGGUGUAGA